GAGGCCUUUAAGCUCUGGACCAGAGAUGAUUUCACUAUGAGGGUACUUCUUCAGCUCGGGUCUCACAGCCUGUACGGUUUUGAUCAGAUGAUAGCACCUCAAGGGGUUGAGAUCCUUGGCAUUGUAGAUCCCUUGGUUAAAGUUAGAAUAAAAGGCAAAGGGCUUUUCAACUACCAUCUAAUUAGGUGUAAUACAAAGGAGAUUGCAAUUCAAAGAUAGUGAAGGAAGUUACGUAUGCUGAAAUUUGUAUUCAGUUUUUGUUGAAUCUUAUUUUUUUCAAAGGGUGAUUGUAUGCUGUAUUGUUUCAGACUUAAUCUGACCUUUUGGGUAUGUAUGUUGACCCUGUCCCAUGUUUUGUCUAUUUUCUUUUCCCAGUGAUAUAUCCUCUUGUACACGGAAUUUAGUUAUAAAAAAGAUGAUUCAGUGUGA